AACGCUAGCUACAGGCUUAACACAUGCAAGUCGAGGGGCAGCAUAGAAGUAGCAAUACUUUGGUGGCGACCGGCGCACGGGUGAGUAACGCGUAUGCAACCUACCUAUCAGAGGGGAAUAACCCGGCGAAAGUCGGACUAAUACCGCAUAAAACAGGGGCACCGCAUGGUGAUAUUUGUUAAAGAAAUUCGCUGAUAGAUGGGCAUGCGUUCCAUUAGGUAGUUGGUGAGGUAACGGCUCACCAAGCCGACGAUGGAUAGGGGAACUGAGAGGUUGGUCCCCCACACUGGUACUGAGACACGGACCAGACUCCUACGGGAGGCAGCAGUGAGGAAUAUUGGUCAAUGGGCGGGAGCCUGAACCAGCCAAGUCGCGUGAAGGAAGAAGGAUCUAUGGUUCGUAAACUUCUUUUGCAGGGGAAUAAAGUGCAGGACGUGUCCUGUUUUGUAUGUACCCUGAGAAUAAGGAUCGGCUAACUCCGUGCCAGCAGCCGCGGUAAUACGGAGGAUCCGAGCGUUAUCCGGAUUUAUUGGGUUUAAAGGGAGCGUAGGUGGACUGGUAAGUCAGUUGUGAAAGUUUGCGGCUCAACCGUAAAAUUGCAGUUGAUACUGUCAGUCUUGAGUACAGUAGAGGUGGGCGGAAUUCGUGGUGUAGCGGUGAAAUGCUUAGAUAUCACGAAGAACUCCGAUUG
rnacentral:rRNA from 1 species